rnacentral:lncRNA from 1 species
GCGCUUGAAAGCCACAAGGUUCAAUGUGCAAACGAAAAUGGGCACUAAGCCAACGUACAAAAGUAUCUAUUAUGAAGGAAACUUGCGAACCUAACAGGACAGUUGAUUUCCUUUAACUCCAACAUGGUAUUUUCACCAAUGACAAAAUGACAGCUUUAACUUUUUUCAUUCUUGUCAAAAAUGAAAGUAUUCUCAAUGCUCCACACUCAUGCAUAUAUCUAGUGUAUUAAGAUGUACGCUAUGUACGGACUGCGUAUUUACAACUCCACUAUUUGGGCAAACCAAAAGAAUGUCAAUUGAAACUUCCUUAUGCCAAGACCUCUGCCUUUAAAACAAGCUCUAGUUCCUCUGUUACGACAUAAUUUCAACACAUCAAACCCAUAUCUUAUACUAUCAACAAACUAUAUUUUUUCGAACAUAUUACUACUAAUUAUCUUUGCAUUUUUUUUCAACUAACACCCAAGAGAGACGAAACCAAAUCAUAUAUAUUUAAAAAAAAAAACAUUUCCUCAGACAGAUACGCGAAAUAUUCAACACUUAAGAUCUAAAGAUUGCAUCAGGGAGAAAACGACCCUGCAAUUGCAUAUUCAUACUGAGGCUAAUUCAAACAAAUAAAUCCAAACAUUUCAUGAAACAAAGAAUGACAAAGUUGAUGGAAGUACACUAUUAAGCACAACAGAGUACGAGAAAUUGAGGAACCAAACCUCAAAAAUGAAUCAGAAUAUUGAUAGCGAGGUAGCGCUGAACUCAAAAACGCGACAAACUAUGGAUGAACCUCGACGCACCGGACCUCGAUGGACCUCUGACCGGAAACGGAAUUAUGUCCAGGCCUCUAGCUUGCCGGAACUGCGACAACAUGCAACAACAGCAGUAGCUACUCGUGGGUGUCGCUGCUUAGGAUUCAAUAGGGGGUCUUCGGCACUCUUUUUUUUUUGAUUUUUUGUUGAGGAAGGUGUUGGUUAAGGUGAGGGCUGAAGUUCAGUGGUCGUUUGGGUGGGGGAUGUGAAGGAGACGAUCCGAGGGGUGGGUCGUUCUGCGCGCAGCUUUUCUUAGCUUUCUUUUUCCUUUAUGCGCAGCUUUUGCUGUUUCUUUUUGUCGUUCUCCUCCCACUCUAUUUGUGUUGAUACCCUACUGAAGUUAUGGUGUGUUCAUAGUGACCUUUGAAGAAGAGUGAAGGGAUGACGAUGGAUGGUGUUGAAGGGGCUGUUGUGAUGGUGUCGCGGCUGAGUGAGAAACAACGACGGGGGAAUUGGAGGGGUCUGUUUUCGCUGAGUUGAUGAAGGGGGGGUCGUGUGUAGAAGUAGG